rnacentral:misc_RNA from 1 species
GGCAGCAACCCAUUCCUCUUGUACCUGGAUGGUUCGCCACAGAAAUCCACUGAGAGCAGAGCGUUUCAAGUUAUCGUGCAGGGUGCCCGACAAGGCAAUGUGAGCACACAAAGAAACGGGAAAGCAACGCCACAAGCAUCCCUGCAGACCCAGUUCGGCAAGUGUGCAAAUAAUUUUUCGCCAGGAGACAGAGAUAUUGCGAGCAACGAUCCCAAAUUGCAGAAGACUAUAAUGGUUGUUAUCUGUUUCCAUCAAAUGCACGCUAAAUUUCGCCAGAACUCCAUCCACAACCCUAAACACUGGAGUACAUCUUCUCCCCCAAAUCAACAAAGGUGGGGUUGGGAAAAAAGGGAGCAUCAGGAGGCAAUAGGAGGUAGCUUAGGUGGGGAGAGGGAAGAUGACAGUAGGUGUUCGUACUGACAGUUCGGGGUCCUUGC